UAAGGAAUAUUGGACAAUGGAGGCAACUCUGAUCCAGCCAUCCCGCGUGCAGGAUGAAUGCCCUACGGGUUGUAAACUGCUUUUAUGAGGGAAGAACCGAGUCCAUUCACUGGGCUUUUGACGGUACCUCACGAAUAAGCACCGGCUAACUCCGUGCCAGCAGCCGCGGUAAUACGGAGGGUGCAAGCGUUAUCCGGAAUCACUGGGUUUAAAGGGUGCGUAGGCGGCAUGAUAAGUCAGAGGUGAAAGGCUGCAGCUUAACUGUGGAAUUGCCUUUGAUACUGUUGUGCUUGAAUUAGGUUGAGGUCGGCGGAACGUGACAUGUAGCGGUGAAAUGCAUAGAUAUGUCACAGAACACCGAUUGCGAAGGCAGCCGGCUAGACCUUAAUUGACGCUGAGGCACGAAAGCGUGGGGAGCGAACA
rnacentral:rRNA from 1 species